GGCACGACUCUCGGCAAUGGAUAUCUCGGCUCUUGCAUCGAUGAAGAGCGCAGCGAAAUGCGAUACGUGGUGCGAAUUGCAGAAUCCCGYGAACCAUCGAGUCUUUGAACGCAAGUUGCGCCCGAGGCCAACCGGCUGAGGGCACGUCUGCCUGGGCGUCAAGC
rnacentral:rRNA from 1 species